rnacentral:lncRNA from 1 species
AGCCUGGCUCGGUGGCUUCAUAGCCAUUUCCAUCAUCAGUUUCCUGUCUCUGCUGGGAGUCAUCUUGGUGCCACUCAUGAACCGAGUGUUCUUCAAGUUCCUGCUGAGCUUCCUCGUGGCGCUGGCCGUGGGGACUCUGAGUGGCGACGCUCUGUUACAUCUUCUCCCACAUUCUCAUGCAAGUCAUCACCACAGUCAUAGCCAUGAAGAACCAGCAAUGGAAAUGAAAAGAGGUCCCCUGUUCAGCCACCCCCUUUGAUUCCCAGCAGCCCACGCUGUUGGAAGAGGAAGAGGUCAUGAUAGCCCACGCACACCCACAAGAAGUCUACAACGAAUACGUGCCCAGGGGCUGCAAGAACAAGUGCCACUCACACUUCCACGACACGCUGGGCCAGUCUGACGACCUCAUUCACCACCACCACGACUACCACCACAUUCUGCACCACCACCACCACCAGAACCACCACCCCCACAGCCACAGCCAGCGCUACUCUCGGGAGGAGCUGAAGGAUGCUGGCAUUGCCACGUUGGCCUGGAUGGUGAUCAUGGGCGAUGGGCUGCACAAUUUCAGCGACGGCCUUGCCAUCGGUAUGCCACUACGUGGCUGGUCCUUGCUGAUCAGCCUGGAAAUAGGACAUUAAAUGUUCUCUCAAACUU